CACGUAGGCGGAUAUUUAAGUCAGGGGUGAAAUCCCAGAGCUCAACUCUGGAACUGCCUUUGAUACUGGGUAUCUCGAGUAUGGAAGAGGUAAGUGGAAUUCCGAGUGUAGAGGUGAAAUUCGUAGAUAUUCGGAGGAACACCAGUGGCGAAGGCGGCUUACUGGUCCAUUACUGACGCUGAGGUGCGAAAGCGUGGGGAGCAAACA
rnacentral:rRNA from 1 species